rnacentral:rRNA from 1 species
UACGUAGGGACCAAGCGUUGUUCGGAUUUACUGGGCGUAAAGGGCGCGUAGGCGGCAAUUCAAGUCACUUGUGAAAUCUCCGAGCUUAACUCGGAACGGUCAAGUGAUACUGCUUUGCUAGAGUGCAGAAGGGGCAACCGGAAUUCUUGGUGUAGCGGUGAAAUGCGUAGAUAUCAGGAGGAACACCAGUGGCGAAGGCGGCUUCCUGGCCUGUUCUUGACGCUGAGGCGCGAAAGCUAGGGGAGCAAACGGG